rnacentral:snRNA from 1 species
GUGCAGCACAUACACUAAAAAAUUGGAACUAUAUAGAGAUUAGCAUGGCCCCUGCCCAAAGAUGACAUGCAAAUUCAUGAAGCGUUCCAUAGUUUU